rnacentral:rRNA from 1 species
AAUGAACGCUGGCGGCAUGCCUUACACAUGCAAGUCGAACGGCAGCACGGGAGCAAUCCUGGUGGCGAGUGGCGAACGGGUGAGUAAAGUAUCGGAACGUGCCCAGUCGUGGGGGAUAACGUAGCGAAAGUUACGCUAAUACCGCAUACGAUCUAUGGAUGAAAGCGGGGGAUCGCAAGACCUCGCGCGAUUGGAGCGGCCGAUAUCAGAUUAGGUAGUUGGUGGGGUAAAGGCUCACCAAGCCGACGAUCUGUAGCUGGUCUGAGAGGACGACCAGCCACACUGGGACUGAGACACGGCCCAGACUCCUACGGGAGGCAGCAGUGGGGAAUUUUGGACAAUGGGCGAAAGCCUGAUCCAGCCAUGCCGCGUGCAGGAUGAAGGCCUUCGGGUUGUAAACUGCUUCUGUACGGAACGAAAAGGUUUGGCCUAAUAAGCUGAGCUCAUGACGGUACCGUAAGAAUAAGCACCGGCUAACUCUGUGCCAGCCGCCGCGGUAA